rnacentral:precursor_RNA from 8 species
UGUGUGUUCUCCUCUGUGGGCUGGUCUCCUGUGCCUGCUGUGCUGAUAAUCAGUGGACGGCUGUGACUGGCUCAGUUCAGCAGGAACAGGGGCCUGGUCUUCUCUCUGUGGGCUUUUCA